rnacentral:rRNA from 1 species
UACGGAGGGUGCAAGCGUUAAUCGGAAUUACUGGGCGUAAAGGGCGCGUAGGCGGCCAGCACAAGUCAGUUGUGAAAUCUCCGGGCUUAACUCGGAAAGGUCAACUGAUACUGUGCGGCUAGAGUGCGGAAGGGGCAACUGGAAUUCUCGGUGUAGCGGUGAAAUGCGUAGAUAUCGAGAGGAACACCUGCGGCGAAGGCGGGUUGCUGGGCCGACACUGACGCUGAUGCGCGAAAGCCAGGGGAGCGAACGGG